rnacentral:rRNA from 1 species
AAGAUGAGCCUAGGUCGGAGUUAGUCUAGUUGGUGAGGUAAUGGCUCACCAAAGGCUACGAUCCGUAACUGGUCUGAGAGGAUGAUCAGUCACACUGGAACUGAGACACGGUCCAGACUCCUACGGGAGGCAGCAGUGGGGAAUAUUGGACAAUGGGCGAAAGCCUGAUCCAGCCAUGCCGCGUGUGUGAAGAAGGUCUUCGGAUUGUAAAGCACUUUAAGUUGGGAGGAAGGGCAUUAACCUAAUACGUUAGUGUCUUGACGUUACCGACAGAAUAAGCACCGGCUAACUCUGUG